CCUACGGGAGGCAGCAGUGGGGGAUAUUGCACAAUGGAGGAAACUCUGAUGCAGCGACGCCGCGUGAGUGAAGAAGUAUUUCGGUAUGUAAAGCUCUAUCAGCAGGGAAGAAAGACUCGAAAGAGAGAUGACGGUACCUGACUAAGAAGCUCCGGCUAAAUACGUGCCAGCAGCCGCGGUAAUACGUAUGGAGCAAGCGUUAUCCGGAUUUACUGGGUGUAAAGGGAGCGCAGACGGUUAUGCAAGUCUGAAGUGAAAAACCACGGCUCAACUGUGGUCUUGCUUUGGAAACUGUGUAACUAGAGUGUCGGAAGGGUAAGCGGAAUUCCUAGUGUAGCGGUGAAAUGCGUAGAUAUUAGGAAGAACACCGGAGGCGAAGGCGGCUUACUGGACGAUAACUGACGUUGAGGCUCGAAGGCGUGGGUAGCAAACAGGAUUAGAUACCCUAGUAGUC
rnacentral:rRNA from 1 species